AUCUCUCACAGAACCACUUGAUUUCAAAUCGGGAGGUCUCUGUCGGUGUUGGAGGCUGCAACUGUCCUACAAUUGCUCCUCUCAAAUGAAUUGGUGCGGCCCGCUGCACAGUCAACCACAACGUUCUAGGUUCAUUCCAACUCGUUGCUCGACUGUCGCUACAAUUGGUUGCUGCACCUAAAGCCCGCCUCGUGCCUCGUGCUCUUGGCAUCACUUCAUU
rnacentral:misc_RNA from 1 species